rnacentral:rRNA from 1 species
AACGAACGCUGGCGGCAUGCCUAACACAUGCAAGUCGAACGAGACCUUCGGGUCUAGUGGCGCACGGGUGCGUAACGCGUGGGAACCUGCCCUUAGGUUCGGAAUAACUCCCCGAAAGGGGUGCUAAUACCGGAUAAUGUCUUCGGACCAAAGAUUUAUCGCCUCUGGAUGGGCCCGCGUUGGAUUCGCUAGUUGGUAGGGUAAAAGCCUACCAAGGCGACGUUCCAUAGCUGGUCUGAGAGGAUGAUCAGCCACACUGGGACUGAGACACGGCCCAGACUCGUACGGGAGGCAGCAGUGGGGAAUAUAGGACAAGGGGCGAAAGCCUGAUCCAGCAAUGCCGCGUGAGUGAUGAAGGCCUUAGUGUUGUAAAGCUCUUUUACCCGGGAUGAUAAUGACAGUACCGGGAGAAUAAGCUCCGGCUAACUCCGUG